rnacentral:rRNA from 1 species
UACGUAGGAUGCAAGCGUUGUCCGGAUUAAUUGGGUUUAAAGGGUGCGUAGGCGGCCUAUUGAGUUAGGGGUGAAAACGUUCGGCUUAACCGUAUACCCGCCAUUGAUACUGAUAGACUUGAGUGCGACAGAGGGUGUUGGAAUGUGUGGUGUAGCGGUGAAAUGCUUAGAUAUCACGCAGAACACCAAUUGCGAAGGCAGAUGCCUAUGUCGUAACUGACGCUGAGGCACGAAAGCGUCGGGAGCAAACAGG